rnacentral:lncRNA from 1 species
AUGUGCUUUUGUUGUUAAAAAUAAAAACUGAACAGUACAGAUAAUGCUUAGCAUUGUUGACCGGAACCAUGGUGUUGCCCAAAUUCACACUGACUUCUUCACACAAGUUAUACGGUGUUGACCCAAGAAAAACUGAACAGUACAGAUAAUGCUUAGCAUCCGUUGACCGGAACCAUGGUGUUGCGCAAAUUCACACUGACUUCACACAAGUUAUACGGUGUUGACCCAAAACCCUUCCGCAUAACAGGAAGUUAGCGCACAAUGUUUCAAAUUGCUAAAUCAAGAAAUAUACUUCAUAGAGAUAAAAGUACCUUUUAGGAGAAUUUAAAGCAGAAGUUUUUCAAAGUGGUUUCCAAGGUGAGGAACCAAGUAUUAAGGAGGAAGAAAGCUAUUUUUAUGUCUUCUGCAAUCAGUUGUCUAUGACUGAUCUAUGGGUUAAUUUUACACUGAAAAACAACAAACAGCAUGUGUCUUCUAAAACCCAGGAAACACUACACUACAGGAUUUCACCUUAUCAGAUUGGCAAAGAAUAAAAGUCUCGAAGUACUGAAUGAUGACAAGGAUGGAGAACAAUGAGAACAUUCAUACCUGCUGAUGGAAAUGUAAAUUGGUCAAUACCCUUGGAAAUCAACUUGUCAAUAUUUAGAAUAGUUGAAGAUAUAUAAGACCUCAGAGCUAGCAAUACUCCUUCUAGGAAUAAACCCUGAGCAUUAAUGUAAGGAAUCACUUAUAAGAAUGUUCAUUACAGCCUUAUUGAUAAUUGUAAAAAUUGGAAACAGGGCAGAUUUCCAUUGAAAGUAAAAUAAAAUUGUGAUGUAUUUAACACAAUAGACUAUAGCAAUUAAUGAACUUGUG